AUGCAAGUCGAGCGGAUGAAGGGAGCUUGCUCCUGGAUUCAGCGGCGGACGGGUGAGUAAUGCCUAGGAAUCUGCCUGGUAGUGGGGGAUAACGUCCGGAAACGGGCGCUAAUACCGCAUACGUCCUGAGGGAGAAAGUGGGGGAUCUUCGGACCUCACGCUAUCAGAUGAGCCUAGGUCGGAUUAGCUAGUUGGUGGGGUAAAGGCCUACCAAGGCGACGAUCCGUAACUGGUCUGAGAGGAUGAUCAGUCACACUGGAACUGAGACACGGUCCAGACUCCUACGGGAGGCAGCAGUGGGGAAUAUUGGACAAUGGGCGAAAGCCUGAUCCAGCCAUGCCGCGUGUGUGAAGAAGGUCUUCGGAUUGUAAAGCACUUUAAGUUGGGAGGAAGGGCAGUAAGUUAAUACCUUGCUGUUUUGACGUUACCAACAGAAUAAGCACCGGCUAACUACGUGCCC
rnacentral:rRNA from 1 species